UGGGCUAUAGCUCAGUGGUAGAGUACUUGCUUAGCAUGCACAAGGUCCUGGGUUCAAUCCCCAGUAACUCCA
rnacentral:tRNA from 1 species